rnacentral:rRNA from 1 species
GAUGAACGCUGGCGGCGUGCCUAAUACAUGCAAGUCGAGCGAAUGGAUUAAGAGCUUGCUCUUAUGAAGUUAGCGGCGGACGGGUGAGUAACACGUGGGUAACCUGCCCAUAAGACUGGGAUAACUCCGGGAAACCGGGGCUAAUACCGGAUAACAUUUUGAACCGCAUGGUUCGAAAUUGAAAGCAGGCUUCGGCUGUCACUUAUGGAUGGACCCGCGUCGCAUUAGCUAGUUGGUGAGGUAGCGGCUCACCAAGGCAACGAUGCGUAGCCGACCUGAGAGGGUGAUCGGCCACACUGGGACUGAGACACGGCCCAGACUCCUACGGGAGGCAGCAGUAGGGAAUCUUCCGCAAUGGACGAAAGUCUGACGGAGCAACGCCGCGUGAGUGAUGAAGGCUUUCGGGUCGUAAAACUCUGUUGUUAGGGAAGAACAAGUGCUAGUUGAAUAAGCUGGCACCUUGACGGUACCUAACCAGAAAGCCACGGCUAACUACGUGCCAGCCGCCGCGGUAA